AGCCCAGGACUCUCCCUCGCCCGGCUCACGGCCCUGCCUGGGGGGCGCCUCCGGGAGCAGAUCACGAGCCCUGGGGCUCAGCCCUCAGGCGCGUCUAGCUCGGCGGUCACCCCAGUGCCGGGAGGACCCUGAAGACGCGCCCCAGGCGGCCCUACUCAGAGCCUCCUCCCAAGGCCCAGGAAUGCGGCGCUGUCGGAGGUGUGCGCGGUGGCCACACCGCUGUCCGGGUCCCCAAAGCGGGCCCCGCUCCCACUUCUCGCCUUGGCCCCGAACCCUGGGUCCAGCCCCAGCGCUUUGUGUGCGAACACCGCUCCGCCCCGGACCCAGCUCCGCCUUGGGGCCCCUCUCUGCCUGCCCCUCCGUGCCCGACUACACUGCUUCCCCUCCGGCGGGCGACUCAGCCCGGUCCAUCGUGGCGGCUUCCAGGGCGGCAGGCUCCGGGAGUACUCCCGGGGCCGGCUCCAAGGACUGUUCCCCUCCUCCCCACUCCCACUCCGCGGCGGCGGCGGGCGAGAGCGGCGACAUAGGGCCAGGGUCCGGAGCGGUGGAGGCUCCUGGCCGGGGAGCACGUCGCCCCACCCGGCAACGCGAGGAUGGUGGCGGCGCAGUCGGCUGCUUUGGGGUCUCAAGGCACAGGGGACGCGAGGCACAGAUGUCCCACAGCAGCCACUGCGGCUCCCGCAGCUGCUCCGCCGCCGCUGCCCGCCCCUCCCUGCUGCAGCUGGCGUGAUGGCAGCGGCAGCUCUGGACGCCCCACUGCUGCCACCAUCAGCCUUGUGAAAUAGCUUGAAAGAUCUAGCCACGUGAGCAGGACAGAAGUGCACAACAACCAUAUCUUGAUUUCUGUGGACCAGGUGGGGCCCCUGCCAGCCUUGCUAGACAGACCCAGGUGAACAGUCCUUCUAGGGGAUCUCAUCACCAGGCAAGCACGUGGUACGAGAAGAGCAGUCAUUAGGAAGGCCAUUUGGAAAAGCACAUCCUCUCUGUUCACGUGAGAUAUUUUACAUCCUCAUUCCUCAUCGCAAGCUUCCUGGGAUUUGGAGUGUCACAGACAAGAGGGUUGGGGGAGGCCAGUAGGUAUGGAUUUGUUUAUAUUAAAAUGAGCAUAUGAAUAUUUAUAUGUUUAUAUUAAAACAUAUAUGUUUGUUUAUAUUACAAUGAGCAUAUGAAUAUUUAUAUGUUUAUAUUAAAACAUAUAUGUUUGUUUAUAUUAAAAUGAGCAUAUGAAUAUUUCUGUAUACUUCAGAUAAACAUUCUUUUCCAUAAAUAAGCUUCAUCAUCCAGAAGCCAUGUUGAAAGUUGGUAAUCAAGGAUAGGAAGUGUUUCCAAGGGUUGUCAGUGAUUAAAUCAACCUUACCUUAGCAUACAUGUAUGAGAGAAGUUAGAUAAAUUAUACAUAGAGAGAUAGCUAGAUAGAUAAUAGAUAAAUAAGGUAGAUGACAGAUUAGAUACAGAUGAUAAACAGAUAUGCUAUCAGUCUAGAUCUAUUACUCACAGUCAGUCGUAUCACAGUGUAAUUCCAUCAACUUCAUUUGCAGCAAAAGAACAGCCCCUGAUGUACGCCUGUUUCCUGAAUAUUUGGAAAUAUUAAUAUUAAUAUAGAUAGAGUCAGCUUGCCAGUAUAAAGAAUCUAUCUCUCACUAUAGGCAGAGCCAUGUGUUGGAUAUUAUGGAGGAAUAUGUAUUAUUUUAAUCGUUUAAAAGACUAAUAAACUUCUAAUCUACUUUUGGGAGCCUCUGCUCAAGUUCCUGAGGUUCCUACUCUAAAAUCCACAUCACCCUCCAACUGCUCCCUAUGUGAGCCAUUAGGGAGCACAAUGAAUUAGAGAAUGAAUCCUAUUAGCCCACUAAAAAAUUAUCUUUCAAAGGAUGAAGACUGAUGCUAAGGAAAAAGAGAUGAGGCCUCCCUGGUUCCGCAUUAUUACUCCUUCCUUUCUUGGGUUACGGAUUGAACACUGACCUUUUCUUUCACUCUUCUGCAAGACAACCCCAUAAGAAAGCUGAAACCUGCUUUUGUGAAAGCCUAUGAUUACUAUAAGACAGGUGAGCAAAACAGAAUCCUAGAUAAACUCAGUUCUUUCCAGUGUGGUGUCUUUGAUGGAAAAAUAAAAUAAAAGCCAAUGUGUUUGGGGUUUUUUUCUUUUUUACUUUAUAUAGAUUUAGGGGGUACAAGUAUGGUUUUGUUACAUGGCUACAUUGCACAGUGGUGAAGUCUGGGCUUUGAGUGUAGCCAUCACCCAAUUAGAGUACAUUGUACCCAUUAAGUGAUUUCCCAUCCCUCUUGCCCUGUCACCCUCCCACCCUUCUGAGUCUCCAGUAUCUGUUAUCCCACUCUCUAUGUCCAUGUGUACAAAUUAUUUAGCUCCCACUUAUAAGUGAGAAUGUGAAGUAUUUGACCUCCUGUUUCUGAGUUAUUUCACUUGAGAUAGUAGCAACAAGGGUGGAAGUGGAGGCCAAACCUCAAUUCUUAAAGCAAUAAAAGUGUGGUAAACCCUUGUACAUCUUGUUUUCAGUUUAAUCUGUCUCCAUAACUUAUUUUUUCUUCCUUGGCCUACAAAACUACUGCCAAAACUACCUGUAAUAUACAUGUAUAUUGAUAUGUAAGCCUAUCAGUCGUGCAAAAUAAUCCAAAGUACCAAGAGUUUUACGUAGAAGUGCUUAUAAAUAAAGGCAUACAUAAAUCUUAAAAAGAUAAUAUAGCAAUGCAAAGAAAUAAAGAAGAGCCUAAGAACUAUACAAAUAAUUAUAGUAGGAACUAAGAGAGGGGUGAGAACUAUAGCGUUGAGUGGUCUUUAAACAGCAAAUGAAGAGGCUGGGCACAGUGGCUUAUGCCUAUAAUCCCAGCAGUUUGGGAGGCCAUGGCAGAAUGAUCUCUUAAAGCUAGAAGUUUGAGACCAGCCUGGGCAACUAAGUGAGAGCCCAUCUCUACAAAAAAUUGAAAAAUAAAAUCAGCCAGCAUGCUGGUACACACCUGUAGUAGUCCCAGCUACUCAGGAGGCUGAGGCAGGACGAUCAUUGGAACCCAGGAGUUUGAGGCUGCAGUGAGUGAAAGAGUGAGACCCCAUCCCUAAAAUACACACACACACACACACACACACCCCCCAAGUAAAAUUUCAGCUGGAAUAUAAAUCGUGGGUAUUAUACUGAUUUAUGGAGAGAAUUAUGCUAAGUCUUUCAGAUGAGGAAAACAUAUAAGAAAUAUCAUGCAAGAAAAAAGAAGCAAAUAUGGAACAAGAACUGAAAGAACACAUACCCGCGUGAUCCCCCCUAGUACUUUGCUUGAACACUGUAGCAUGAGCAGGCUUUGAUUUUCCACCAGAGUAACGGAUUAUACUAAUGGUAUCAAGAGUGGAAAUUCCUUGACCAUGUCUAUAUAUUUCCCCAGUGAGCUGACAUUUUUGUGAUCACGCAGGCCCUGAUUCAGUAUGGUUUGCAGUCCUUAAAUAGGUCAAAGCCUCUCCACAUAGCCCUGUCCCGUUGAAGCUCCCAUUCUCAAGCUUUUCUCCCAUUGUGUGUUUCAGAUGAAGCAAAUUUGCUGAAUACAGUGUCCCCUGCAGCCGAUAGGCAGUUUGCUCUACAUAUCCCAAGCCUUCAUUUUGCUCUCAAAAGCAGUCCUCCUAAAUACAAAAUCAUCUACAUCUUUUAUUAGUUGAUAUCAGAUUUAUCAUACUGCAAGGUAACGCAGAACUAUACAGCUUUGGAGAGGAACACUAACUUCCUGGAAGGUUUCCUGAUUUUCUUAUCAGAAGAGUGUAAAUGAAAUUACCCUGUGAUUAGGGUAGAUAUCUGAUGGAUUCCAUUCUCAGCCAUAACCAGUUUGGUCUCCUUUAGCAAAGCCCUGCUGCUGUCCAUAUCCAAUUAGAAUUAAAUUCACUCCUUGGCAAGCCCGAAGUCAUCCUGUUCGCUUUCCUCUUCUCUCCACAGGCACAGAGCAAGAAAAUGUUUGAGGCUUGUGUCUAUAAACAAGACUUGGCUGGAAUCCCCAGACCCACGACUUUUUAAAAGGAUAUUUUGUCCCUGCAAUACAGAUACUGAAUGAGGUUGGCAAAUAAAUAUGUAU
ensembl:lncRNA LINC00612 long intergenic non-protein coding RNA 612